rnacentral:rRNA from 1 species
UACAGAGGUGGCUAGCGUUGUUCGGAAUUACUGGGCGUAAAGGGCGCGUAGGCGGCUUGGUCAGUCCCGUGUGAAAUCCCUCGGCUCAACUGAGGAACUGCACGGGAAACUGCCUGGCUUGAGUUCGGGAGAGGGAAGCGGAAUUCCGGGUGUAGCGGUGAAAUGCGUAGAUAUCCGGAGGAACACCGGUGGCGAGGGCGGCUUCCUGGACCGACACUGACGCUGAGGCGCGAAAGCUAGGGGAGCAAACGGG